rnacentral:rRNA from 1 species
CCCGCUCAGAAACUCAAAGGAAUUGACGGGGCCCGCACAAGCGGUGGAGCAUGUGGUUUAAUUCGAUGAUACGCGAGGAACCUUACCUGGGCUCAAAUGUAUGUUGACGUAUUCUGAAAGGGAUACUUCUUCGGACAAUAUACAAGGUGCUGCAUGGUUGUCGUCAGCUCGUGCCGUGAGGUGUCGGGUUAAGUCCCGCAACGAGCGCAACCCCUGCAUUCAGUUGCCAUCGGUAAGGCCGGGCACUCUGGAUGGACUGCCGGCGACAAGCCGGAGGAAGGUGGGGACGACGUCAAGUCAUCAUGGCCCUUAUGUCCAGGGCGACACACGUGCUACAAUGGCCGGCACAACGGGAAGCGAAGGGGCGACCCUGAGCGGAUCCCACAAAAGCCGGUCUCAGUUCGGAUUGCAGUCUGCAACUCGACUGCAUGAAGUUGGAAUCGCUAGUAAUCGUGGAUCAGCCAAGCCGCGGUGAAUACGUUCCCGGGCCUU